rnacentral:rRNA from 1 species
AGAGUAAAGCUUCGGCGGUUUGGGAUAAGCCCGCGUCCUAUCAGGUUGUUGGUGAGGUAAUGGCUCACCAAGCCUAUAACGGGUAGCUGAUCUGAGAGGAUGGUCGGCCAGACUGGGACUGAGAUACGGCCCAGACUCCUACGGGAGGCAGCAACUAGGAAUUAUGCGCAAUGGACGAAAGUCUGACGCUGCGACAUCGCGUGGAGGAUGAAGGUCUUCGGAUCGUAAACUCCUUUUAUUGGGGAACAAGUUCUGAGGGUACCCAAUGAAUAAGUGCCUGCCAACCACGUGCCAGAAGCAUCGGUAAUACGUGGGACACAAGCGUUAUCCGGAUUUACUGGGCGUAAAGAGAUGCGUAGGUGUCUUAGUAAGUUCUGUGUUAAAUCCCAAUGCUCACCAUUGGAAUCGCAUAGAAAACUAUUAAGAUUGAGCCAAAUAGAGGAAAGGGGAAUUCCUGGUGGAGCGGUUAAAUGCGUUGAUAUCAGGAGGAAUACCAAUGGCGAAGGCACCUUUCUGGAUUUGUGCUGACACUAAGGCUCGAAAGCGUGGGGAGCAAAACGGAAUUAGAUACCCCGUGGUAGUCCACGCUGUAAACAAUCCUCGUUAGAUUUCUGUCUUAGCCUUUUUAUUUUUUCCUUCGGAAAAGUUUGAGGCCUGAUGGGAGUCGAAAGCUAAAGCGUUAAAAGAAGGCGCCUGGGAAGUACGGGCCGCAAGGCUAAAACCCAAAGGAAUUGACGGGGAACCGCACAAGCAGUGGAGCGCGCUGGUCUAAUUCGAUGAUCAGCGAAGAACCUCACCUGGGCUUAAACUGUAGCUGCACGCCUCCAGAAAAGGAGGAAGCCUUCGAGGGUGCUACAGAGGUGGUGCAUGGCUGUUGUCAGCUCGUGUCGUGAGAUGUAGGGUUAAGUCCCACAACGAGCGCAACCCCUAUCCGAUGUUACAAUUACUUCGGAGACUGCCCCGCUUUAACGGGGAGGAAGGAGGGGAUGACUUCCAGUCAUCAUGUCCCUUAUGUCCAGGGCUACACAGACGCUACAAUGGCUAUUACAAUGGGUUGCCAAACCGCGAGGUGGAGCUAAUCCCAUCAAAAAUAGUCUCAGUUCAGAUUGCAGGCUGCAACUCGCCUGCAUGAAGUCGGAAUUGCUAGUAAUCGCGUAUCAGCACGGCGCGGUGAAUACGUUCUCGGUUCUUGUACACACCGCCCGUCAGGGCAUGGGAGUUGCUCUUGCUCGAAGUUCUCGUUUACCGAGGCCGACAGUAAGGGUGACGACUGGGCUUAAGUCGUAACAAGGUAACC